GGCGAACCGGGAGAACUGAAACAUCUAAGUACCCCGAGGAAAAGAAAUCAACCGAGAUUCCCUCAGUAGCGGCGAGCGAACGGGGAUUAGCCCUUAAGCAUCUUGGAAGUUAGUGGAACGGUCCUGGAAAGGCCGGCGAUACAGGGUGAUAGCCCCGUACACGAAAACAACCUUGAUGUGAAAUCGAGUAGGGCGGGACACGUGACAUCCUGUCUGAAUAUGGGGGGACCAUCCUCCAAGGCUAAAUACUCCUGACUGACCGAUAGUGAACCAGUACCGUGAGGGAAAGGCGAAAAGAACCCCUGUGAGGGGAGUGAAAUAGAACCUGAAACCGUGUACGUACAAGCAGUGGGAGCCCUUCGGGGUGACUGCGUACCUUUUGUAUAAUGGGUCAGCGACUUACAUUUUGUAGCGAGGUUAACCGUAUAGGGGAGCCGUAGGGAAACCGAGUCUUAACUGGGCGUCUAGUUGCAAGGUGUAGACCCGAAACCGGGUGAUCUAGCCAUGGGCAGGUUGAAGGUUGAGUAACAUCAACUGGAGGACCGAACCCACUAACGUUGCAAAGUUAGGGGAUGACCUGUGGCUGGGGGUGAAAGGCCAAUCAAACUCGGAGAUAGCUGGUUCUCCCCGAAAGCUAUUUAGGUAGCGCCUCGGACGAAUACUACUGGGGGUAGAGCACUGUUUGGGCUAGGGGGUCAUCCCGACUUACCAACCCCAUGCA
rnacentral:rRNA from 1 species